UUUGACCUUUCUUAGGGAAAAAAACACUUUCUCACGGCCGGUGACAGCGAAACGGAUAACAGUCUUCAGUACCUGCUGGUCUUUGAAGCUCUGGAUUCUGGGACUGUUGGAAAAGCUCCAACAAAAUGAGGAAGAGGAGGGGGAGAAAUACAAUUAGAUUGAAUUACAAUUGGAUGGAAGGCGAGGACAAGGAGAAGGAA